rnacentral:rRNA from 1 species
GACCAGACUCCUACGGGAGGCAGCAGUGGGGGAUAUUGCACAAUGGGGGAAACCCUGAUGCAGCGACGCCGCGUGAGUGAAGAAGUAAUUCGUUACGUAAAGCUCUAUCAGCAGGGAAGAAAAUGACGGUACCUGACCAAGAAGCCCCGGCUAACUACGUGCCAGCAGCCGCGGUAAUACGUAGGGGGCAAGCGUUAUCCGGAUUUACUGGGUGUAAAGGGAGCGUAGACGGCGGGGCAAGCCUGGAGUGAAAGGCAGGGGCCCAACCCCUGGACUGCUCUGGAAACUGUCCGGCUGGAGUGCAGGAGAGGUAAGUGGAAUUCCUAGUGUAGCGGUGAAAUGCGUAGAUAUUAGGAGGAACACCAGUGGCGAAGGCGGCUUACUGGACUGUACCUGACGCUGAGGCGCGAAAGCGUGGGUAGCGAACGGGAUUAGAUACCCGAGUAGU